UAGAUAUCGGGAGGAACACCAGUGGCGAAGGCGGCCUACUGGGCACUAACUGACGCUGAGGCUCGAAAGCAUGGGUAGCAAACAGGAUUAGAUACCCUGGUAGUCCAUGCCGUAAACGAUGAUUACUAGGUGUGGGAGGAUUGACCCCUUCCGUGCCGCAGCUAACACAAUAAGUAAUCCACCUGGGGAGUACGACCGCAAGGUUGAAACUCAAAGGAAUUGACGGGGGCCCGCACAAGCAGUGGAGUAUGUGGUUUAAUUCGAAGCAACGCGAAAAACCUUACCAGGUCUUGACAUCCCGUGCAUAGCUAAGAGAUUAGUGAAGUCCUUCGGGACACGGAGACAGGUGGUGCAUGGUUGUCGUCAGCUCGUGUCGUGAGAUGUUGGGUUAAGUCCCGCAACGAGCGCAACCCUUAUCUUUAGUUACUACGCAAGAGGACUCUAGAGAGACUGCCGUUGACAAAACGGAGGAAGGUGGGGAUGACGUCAAAUCAUCAUGCCCUUUAUGACCUGGGCCACACACGUACUACAAUGGCAAUUAACAAAGAGAAGCGAAACCGCGAGGUGGAGCGAACCUCAUAAAAAUUGUCUCAGUUCGGAUCGCAGGCUGCAACCCGCCUGCGUGAAGCCGGAAUUGCUAGUAAUCGCGGAUCAGCAUGCCGCGGUGAAUACGUUCCCGGGCCUUGUACACACCGCCCGUCACACCAUGAGAGCCGGGGGGCCCGAAGUCNNNAGUCUAACCGCAAGGAGGACGCCGCCGAAGGUAAAACUGGUGAUUGGGGUGAAGUCGUAACAAGGUAACCGUA
rnacentral:rRNA from 1 species